AGCUACCCUGACAUUAUAUUCUUUGCCAGGAUGGUAGAAUUCUGCAAGUCCCCAGUCAAUCAAGCGUAGUUUUCGCAACUCAUGGUCAAUCAUUACAUUGUGAGGUUUCACAUCUCUAUGCAUUAUGCCUUGUGAAUGGCAAUAAUCUAGUGCCUUGAGAAGCUCAUAUAUAUAGUAGCGAAUGUCAUAAUCUGUCAAUGUUGGGUAAAAAAUUUUAAAAUCUGUACUGUUAACAUAUUCAAAAAUCA
rnacentral:misc_RNA from 1 species